GAUGAACGCUGGCGGCGUGCUUAACACAUGCAAGUCGAACGGUGAAGCAGGAGCUUGCUCCUGUGGAUCAGUGGCGAUCGGGUGAGUAACACGUGAGCAAUCUGCCCUGGACUCUGGGAUAAGCGUUGGAAACGACGUCUAAUACCGGAUACGAGGCGUGGGGGCAUCCCCAACGCCUGGAAAGAACUUCGGUCCAGGAUGAGCUCGCGGCCUAUCAGGUAGUUGGUGAGGUAACGGCUCACCAAGCCUACGACGGGUAGCCGGCCUGAGAGGGUGACCGGCCACACUGGGACUGAGACACGGCCCAGACUCCUACGGGAGGCAGCAGUGGGGAAUAUUGCACAAUGGGCGCAAGCCUGAUGCAGCAACGCCGCGUGAGGGACGACGGCCUUCGGGUUGUAAACCUCUUUUAGCAGGGAAGAAGCGAAAGUGACGGUACCUGCAGAAAAAGCACCGGCUAACUACGUGCCAGCCGCCGCCGUAAUAC
rnacentral:rRNA from 1 species